GAUGAACGCUGGCGGCGUGCCUAAUACAUGCAAGUCGAGCGAGCAGACGAGGAGCUUGCUCCUCUGACGUUAGCGGCGGACGGGUGAGUAACACGUGGAUAACCUACCUAUAAGACUGGGAUAACUUCGGGAAACCGGAGCUAAUACCGGAUAAUAUACUGAACCGCAUGGUUCAAUAGUGAAAGACGGUUUUGCUGUCACUUAUAGAUGGAUCCGCGCCGCAUUAGCUAGUUGGUAAGGUAACGGCUUACCAAGGCAACGAUGCGUAGCCGACCUGAGAGGGUGAUCGGCCACACUGGAACUGAGACACGGUCCAGACUCCUACGGGAGGCAGCAGUAGGGAAUCUUCCGCAAUGGGCGAAAGCCUGACGGAGCAACGCCGCGUGAGUGAUGAAGGUCUUCGGAUCGUAAAACUCUGUUAUUAGGGAAGAACAAAUGUGUAAGUAACUAUGCACGUCUUGACGGUACCUAAUCAGAAAGCCACGGCUAACUACGUG
rnacentral:rRNA from 1 species